CUAUGCGCCUUGCCACGCCCGACUCAAGAAACUACAAAGGAAGUUCGACGGGGCCCCCGCACAAGCAGCGGAGCGUGUGGUUUAAUUCAAUGCUACACGAAGAACCUUACCAGGGUUUGACAUACAAGUAGUAGGGAAAGGAAACUGGACCGACCCUUCGGGGAGCUUGAACAGGUGCUGCAUGGCUGUCGUCAGCUCGUGUCGUGAGAUGUUCGGUUAAGUCCGCUAACGAGCGCAACCCUCGCUGUGUGUUACAAGUGUCACACGGAACUGCCGGUCAUAAACCGGAGGAAGGUGGGGAUGACGUCAAGUCAGCAUGGCCUUUAUAUCCUGGGCUACACACACGCUACAAUGGGAAGGGACAAUAGGUUGCGAAACCGCGAGGUGGAGCCAAUCCAGCAAAACUUCCCUCAGUUCAGAUUGCAGGCUGCAACUCGCCUGCAUGAAGUUGGAGUUGCUAGUAAACGCAGGUCAGCCAUACUGCGUUGAAUACGUUCCCGGGGCUU
rnacentral:rRNA from 1 species